GCAGAGUACAGCUGGUUCCCAGGGAGGCUGGGGGUGAUUCACCAUGCUCUUAGAAAAAAGGCUAGCCUCAUUUCCUCCCUAGCUCAAAGGGGUAGGAUUUCUCUACUCUGACAGCAGAUCUCCCAGAGGAAGCAGGCUGGCCACAUCAUUGGCCCAGAAGAGGAAGCGUCUGUCCCCCAGACUAACUGAAGGAAAGGCUGACUUGGAUGAUGCUCUGCUUUCUCCUUGUCCUUCUCCUGGGCACUUUCUUCGGGGCCAGAUCUCAGACUAUUCAUCAAUGGCCAGCGACCCUGGUGCAGCCUGUGGGCAGCCCGCUCUCUCUGGAGUGCACCGUGAAGGGGACAUCAAACCCCUACCUAUACUGGUACCGACAGUCUGCAGACAGGGGCCUCCAGCUGCUCUUCUCCUCACUUAGUGUUGACCAGAUCAACUCUGAGGUGCCCCAGAAUCUCUCAGCCUCCAGGCCCCAGGACGGGCAGUUCAUCCUGAGUUCUAAGAAGCUCCUCCUCAGUGAUUCUGGCUUCUAUCUCUGUGCCUGGAGUGUCACACUGAGCUGGGUGGGGCAGACAUCUGUGCAAAAACCCCACCUUCUCCUGAGCCCUAACCUCCAUCCCCAGGAGCCCUCAGUCAGAGACUGGGUGUAGGAUAUUUGUAACUAGGUUUUUUGACUGCUGGCCAAUGUGAAAGCAACGGAAUAAAGCUAGAAUUCUACAAAAGACGCUACUGUUCUCAGGGAGAACAAAAAAUCAUAUGUGUGCAGAACCUGUGAUUUGCCUGCACAUAACAAAGUUCCCAAUGUAUGGAUGUCCAGGCCUAGGCUACCAUACUCCAGCCCUCUAGGUGGGCUAUACCUUGCCUGAUUCUCUAUUCUUCCAAAUUCCUGUGUGCCCUAUGGAAGGCGUUGUGCAUACAUGGCUGAGAGAAAUAGGAUAUGCCUGUGACAGGAGGUGAGCUGGUGAACAAAUGGGAGGAUGCCAACUGAGGUUACUUAAUUGUUUAAUUUCAUCACCUGGAGAGUCUCCUGUCAUUGAUCUUUCUGCUGAGACUAGAAAUUCUGGGGGAGCUUAGACCUCAGGCUGUGAGUCAGGCAAAGAGGCAAGAUGUUGAGGAGACUGUUCUUGUUUGAGGCA